UGAACAUCUAUUAUUAAAGCAAUAAGUGCCUCUGGGUUGAGCAUAAUGAUUAAUGAAACGCAAAAAAAUAUCGGAUCUGUUUUCAUCAGCAUUAUGCUAGCUUGCAUUUAAAAAGCAAUUCUGACUUUUUUCUUAGACUUAAGCAUGUUAUUGUAGAGUAAGUGGAAUUGAUUACCUGAUUUGAAAAUGAGUUCAAUUUGACAAUGCUAGGAAAAAAGAAUAGAUUUUUUUCUAAUGAUAUGAUAAUUGUACUUGUACAAGAGUGUAUGAAGUUAUUUAACAUAAAUGUAUGAAUAUGUAGUGAUUUUUUAAAUAAAGUUUUUUGUUUUUUUUACCAAAUGUAUUCAUUUUAUAUAAGGAAAUGAAUAACAUGUUUUAUGUUCAAUAUAGUGUUAGUAUAUAAGAUAUUCUAUGAAGCCAUAUUUAUAUGAAUUAUUAAAAAUUAUAAUGGAAAGAUUGUUAUAGUUAGAUUGUACUGUGUUGUUAAUCUGCUGUAAAGGCAGUAUUUAAUGUGUCAUUUCUAGUGAAAUUUCUGUCACAAACAUGUAAACAUUCCACUGAAGCUGCCCAAGUCAAUGGAGGGUAUUAUAUACAUGAAAAUUGCUGAAAUGAUUUUUAAAAAUUGAAUAAUGUUGACAAAAUAAAAUGAGAUAGUAAAAUC
rnacentral:misc_RNA from 1 species